UAGAGAAGGUAACAACUGAACUAUCCACAUCCAUCUACCAGCUAAUCAAUGUCUAUUGUAACAGCUUUUAUGCAGAUUUUCAGCCUGUAAAUGUACCUAGAUGCAUUUCCUAUCUAAAUCCCGGGCUUCCUUCCCACCUCAGCUUCACAGUGUAUGCAGCACACAACAUUCCAGAAACCUGGGUGCACAGCUACAAAGCAUUUUCUUUUACCUGUUGGCUUACAU
rnacentral:lncRNA from 1 species